UCCCCAGGCGGACAACACGUACGCGACGAUAGCGGGCAGCGCGGCGCAGUACGGCGCGCAGUACGCCACGCUGGCCGGCGACGAGCCCUCGCCGCUGGAGGCCGCGCUCGGCUUCCAGGGCAGUACAUUCAAGCCGCCUUCCCCCGAAACCCCGGAGCCUCCGCCGCGGCCCUCCGCCCUCGGCCCCCCGCACUGAAUCUUCGACGGCAAUAGGUGUACAGAAUAAUGAACUUUACGGACAAUGUAAAUAUAGCUCAUAAUGCAAUGUGCAUGUUGACGAAGUAUUAUUUUAACUAAGAACUUUUAACAAUUUUGUAAUUUUAAAAUGUUUAGUUAUAACCAAUAUGGAAAUAACCAAUUUUCCAUGUAUAGAAAAUCUGCAAGAUAACUGUUAUUAAAUAUGCGUUUAUUUCAUAGGCAAUCUGAAUUUAAAAAUUCCAGUAACUUUAAAAAAUAAACUUCAAGUAUUUUUUCAUGAAUUCAUGUUCAAAAAACGAACUAGUCAAUGGAUUAUUUAUUCAAAGUAUAUUAAAUCUAAUACAUCGUCAACGUCCAUUAAAUAACUAGUUUAGACCAGUUUUAGUCAGAUUUAUCUAGAUUUAAGACUAACUUGUGAUAAGUACGCGUGUUAAAUAUUGACUUAGGUAUAAAAAUAUGUAAAUGAACAUAAAAGUUUCCUUUAUUACGUAAAUUACGUAUACAUUUGUGUUUAAGAUAUUUACUAAUUGCAAAGAAUCUCUACUUUAUUUAACGGUAAAUAAAUGACAUAAAAUGUAAAUUAUGUUUUAAAUUAUUAUUAAUAAAGCUACGUAUAAAAUGUGGUAAUUUAGUAUUUCAUAUAUAAAGUGCCAAGUCUUACCGUUAAAUUAUUUAUAUGCAUUUAAUACACAAUUUUACACAAUAGGUGUCGUCAGGUGGUGAUACUAGGCUAGAUCUGGGGGAGACCAUUAAUGUCUUUUCAAAGUAGUUUUUAUAUCUUUUUUAAUUUUUUUUUUUCAUCUAUCCAUUUGGCGACACCAAUGUUUUAACACAUUUGUAAAAACACAAAUACAGAUUUUAAAAAAGAAACCCUAAUUUUAUUGCCAUAGUAAUACGUUGUAAAGUGUACAAAUAAAUUUAUUUUAUAGUAAUAAAAUGUAAAUAUAUACCUAUUUUUUAUAUUUGCAAAGUAUUUAAAACAACGAAUUAGUAAUAUACAAAUUUUAAAAAAUAACUGCGUUUUAUUUCACGAUUUCUAAAAAACCUCAUCCCAAUUUACCCAUAACUAUGUAAGCCUUGUUUUAAAAACAAGUAAACAAGGUUUAAUCUGUAACAUUUGU